AAUAGAUACCCCGGUAGUCCACGCCGUAAACGGUGGAUACUAGCUGUUUGAGCGCAAGUUUGAGUGGCUAAGCGAAAGUGAUAAGUAUCCCACCUGGGGAGUACGGGCGCAAGCCUGAAACUCAAAGGAAUUGACGGGGGCCCGCACAAGCGGUGGAGCAUGUGGUUUAAUUCGAUGAUACGCGAGGAACCUUACCAGGGCUUAAAUGUAGAUUGACGUAUUUGGAAACAGAUAUUUCUUCGGACAAUUUACAAGGUGCUGCAUGGUUGUCGUCAGCUCGUGCCGUGAGGUGUCAGGUUAAGUCCUAUAACGAGCGCAACCCCUGUUGUUAGUUGCCAGCGAGUAAUGUCGGGAACUCUAGCAAGACUGCCAGUGUAAACUGUGAGGAAGGUGGGGAUGACGUCAAAUCAUCACGGCCCUUACGUCCUGGGCCACACACGUGCUACAAUGGCCGGUACAGAGAGCAGCCACUUAGCGAUAAGGAGCGAAUCUAUAAAGCCGGUCACAGUUCGGAUCGGAGUCUGC
rnacentral:rRNA from 1 species